UUCUAAAUUCAUCUAUUAUUUUCGUAUUCUCUUAAUUCCAGGUAAAUCAAUAUUUGAAUACAAUGCAUAAUUUCUCCACUUGUUAGACUUGACAUGAGCGUAUUCUAGAGGAAAGUUAGUCCUUGACAACCUAAAUGGUGCAAAUGUUUUUAAAAGUGUCGCCUCUUCUCGUUUCAAAAACCCUAUCAAUAUUUUGGUACUAAAAUCACCCUUGCAAAUCAUCUCUACAGCGGCGAAUAUUUGUGCCAUAGGUAUAUAAAAGAACGGUGGGUCACAGAUCACAACGCGAAAUGUUUCAUCUUGAUUUUCCGGUGUUCGAAUGUCAAAAUAUCUGAACUUUGGUAGGUAGUUAAAUCGUUCAUCUAUGUCGAAAAGCCAUUCUGAUCUAUUUUCUUCAAAAUGCCAAGCGUGGGCCAGACUCGGUGUUCCCAGACAACAAGGGUGAAAUUGAUAACGUAAGGCGUCCAUCAGUUUAUGUACGCAUUCUGUAGUCCAGAAGUAUUGUUCGAGAUCGCGACGUUCCGUAAAGCCUUCGGAAAACAUCGAUCUAUUCGUGGCGGUCUUUCGAGAGACUUCUUGUUCAGUCAUGUUUCUAGCUUCGUCUAUCCUUGGCUAGGCUUUCAAAUGUUUCAAUAUUGACUGUAGUUUUCCAGUGUAAGUAACUUCAAUAUUUUUCAGAUAGCGUGAUCUUUCAAGAAUAUUCUCAAAUGUCUGUAUGCAUUUACGAUAUAGAAAGACGAUUGUUCCAACUCAUAUUUAUAUAUUCAUCCGCCAACGCAAAACUCUUAUUUGACCUUAUUUAUAUUCAAUUACGUCAUUUUGGCAAAGUUACCCCAAGUGGUGCAAUAUUCACAAC